rnacentral:rRNA from 1 species
UACGGAAGGUGCGAGCGUUAAUCGGAAUUACUGGGCGUAAAGCGCGCGUAGGCGGCUUGGUAAGUCGGAUGUGAAAGCCCCGGGCUCAACCUGGGAACUGCAUUCGAUACUGCCGGGCUGGAGUACGAAAGAGGGGGGUGGAAUUCCAGGUGUAGCGGUGAAAUGCGUAGAGAUCUGGAGGAACACCGGUGGCGAAGGCGGCCCCCUGGUUCGAUACUGACGCUGAGGUGCGAAAGCGUGGGGAGCAAAC